rnacentral:rRNA from 1 species
GGAUGACCAUUUGGCCUUUGCACCUUUUAGGUGUAUAUGCUGCUAAUGGUUGCCUGAAUUUUAUAUUGAAUAGCAGCGGUGGACCGCACUUCUUCCUUAGUAGGACGUCGCGACCCACUAAACAUGUAGUUUAUACGUAAGCUAAAGUCUGUUUUCUUUUAAAAGAAAUUUUUUAAGGGAGCAGGUUGCUUAUUAAAAAAGACUAAUGUGUUGGUGGUAAAAAAUGACAGUGGUGAGCCGCUUUUUUAAAGCGUUUAAUGUAAUGCUCAAUUGCCAUUUUUGUAAAGAAACAUUUUAUUAGAGUUUUAUGCUCUAAUGUUUUUUUUACUGGUAAUUUGUAGCUUUUAUUAUAUUUAAACUGUGCUCACAACACUUGUCAGCGGCGCUACAGUUUCAGUAACUUUUCUGACCCGUCUUGAAACACGG